rnacentral:rRNA from 1 species
UACAGAGGGGGCAAGCGUUGUUCGGAAUUACUGGGCGUAAAGGGCGCGUAGGCGGCCGCCUAAGUCAGACGUGAAAUCCCUCGGCUCAACCGGGGAACUGCGUCUGAUACUGGGUGGCUUGAAUCCGGGAGAGGGAUGCGGAAUUCCAGGUGUAGCGGUGAAAUGCGUAGAUAUCUGGAGGAACACCGGUGGCGAAGGCGGCAUCCUGGACCGGCCUUGACGCUGAGGCGCGAAAGCCAGGGGAGCAAACGGG